rnacentral:rRNA from 1 species
UACGUAUGGCGCAAGCGUUAUCCGGAUUUACUGGGUGUAAAGGGAGCGCAGGCGGCGCGUUAAGCCUGGUGUGAAAGCCCGCGGCCCAACCGCGGGACUGCAUUGGGAACUGGCGCGCUGGAGUGCCGGAGGGGUAGGCGGAAUUCCUAGUGUAGCGGUGAAAUGCGUAGAUAUUAGGAGGAACACCAGUGGCGAAGGCGGCCUACUGGACGGUGACUGACGCUGAGGCUCGAAAGCGUGGGGAGCAAACAGG